rnacentral:lncRNA from 1 species
CGCAGCUGGUGUUUCAACGCCCUUGUCACUCAGCUCUGGUUUUGUGAAGAGGCUCCUCGCUCCCUGGUGAGUCGUUAAUGCUCACUCAGCCUUUUGUUAAAUGAGCCUUACAUGCAGGGUCCUGGCCUCGGACACCAGGCCCCACGGUACACUGUUGUGUAUUCUUCGUUGUGGGUCCUUCUAGUUGUGGCAUAUGGGAUGCUGCCUCAGCGUGGUUUGACGAGCAGUGCCAUGUUCACGCCCAGGAUUCGAACCAAGGAAACACUGGGCCGCCUGCAGCGGAGCGUACGAACCCAACCACUCAGCCACGGGGCCAGCCCCCAUCCUCUUAUUUUUAUUUGCUAAAUCUGGCAACCCUACUUGAGAUUAGACUCUCGUCGUUGUCCUGUCCUCCAGGUCUGUCCUUGUGGGCCUCCUAUAAUGCAUUCUGCCAAGAAGCCUGAGACAGAAUGAGGCAAAGGAAGAAUCUUAAUCACAUUUGGCUUUUUGUUCUUAUCUAGCUCCAAGUGUCACAGAUAUGCACUGAAUUCAUAAAUAAAUUAAAACGUCAUUUGGACAGCUGAAGUUUAAUUCAUUUUUUCCUGAAACUUUAGCAACCUUGGAUUCCACUGAGGGGAAGGAUGGUGUGAAGAGGAAAGAAUGAUCGAGAGAUCAAGAGAUCUGGUCACUUAUCCCAGGUCAAGUGGCCAUGGUGUGGCACUCUCUCUUUAGUCUCUAUUUGCAAACUUAAAGAAUUAGAUUAAAUGACCUCUAAGGUCCCUUCUGGGGCUGAAAAGUCAAUGAUUCUAGCUUCAAAAGGUCCGAAACUUCUGAGAAUGACAAAAGCUAUAAGGAAAUGAAGUCCAAGAUAAAUGAAGAGGUGGUAAGAGAGCACCAGCUGCUUCAAAUGAGUUUAAUUCUGCAAAUCUCAUGAAAUACAUCUAGGAUAAUGAAAUAAUUUACAGAUAUGAUCAUACAAAUAUCAACAACAAUCUUUAAGAAACUAUGGAGAAUGGUGAAAUCACUAGAAGCUUGGAGAGAGGCAAAUAUUAGUUGCCAUUAUGUGGCAAAAAUGAAGACUCAAAAAAAUAUGGAAUUGUCAGUUUUACAUGGAUUCCUAGAAAAACUUUGGAAAGAGUCAACAAAAAGCGUUUGUAAACCCUUAAAAAUGGAGUGUUGAUCAUUAAGAGUCAGCCUGGAGUCACCACAAAUAAAUCUACAUGUAUCUUUUAUUUUAAGCUGCAUCAACCCC